rnacentral:misc_RNA from 2 species
AAUUCUCAACUGCUUUAGCUUUUGUGGUUGAAGUAAAGUUGGAUUUGGAGGAAUAAUUGCUGGCGUAACCUUUUAAGGUUGCUUGUUAGCUCCUCUUAAAUGGAUGAACUUUCCAGUAGUGUAAAAGUAACACCAAUGUGAUAAUUAUCUACGUUGGAUGAACUUGUACAAGGAAAGAUGAAUCUGUCUUGGACCCCCUUGACGAAACAAAUGACAA